rnacentral:rRNA from 1 species
UUGGAGGGCAAGUCUGGUGCCAGCAGCCGCGGUAAUUCCAGCUCCAAUAGCGUAUAUUAAAGUUGUUGCAGUUAAAAAGCUCGUAGUUGAACUUCGGGAUCAAUGGAUUGGUCAUGCCGAUGGUAUGAACUGGUCAUAUUGGUUCUCACCUUCUAAGGAACCAUGAUGUCAUUUAUUUGAUGUUGUGGGGAAUUAGGACUGUUACCUUGAAAAAAUUAGAGUGUUUAAAGCAGGCUAACGCUUGAAUACAUUAGCAUGGAAUAAUGAAAUAGGACAUCGCAUUCUAUUUUGUUGGUUUCUAGGAUCGAUGUAAUGAUUAAUAGGGAUAGUUGGGGGCAUUAGUAUUCAAUUGUCAGAGGUGAAAUUCUUGGAUUUAUUGAAGACUAACUACUGCGAAAGCAUUUGCCAAGGAUGUUUUCAUUAAUCAAGAACGAAAGUUAGGGGAUCGAAGACGAUCAGAUACCGUCGUAGUCUUAACCAUAAACUAUGCCGACUAGGGAUCGGAUGAUGUUGAUUUUUUAAUGACUCAUUCGGCGCCUUACGGGAAAC